GAUGAACGCUGGCGGCGUGCCUAACACAUGCAAGUCGAGCGAUCUUCUUCGGAAGAGAGCGGCGGACGGGUGAGUAACGCGUGGGUAACCUGCCCUGUACACACGGAUAACAUACCGAAAGGUAUGCUAAUACGAGAUAAUAUACUUUUAUCGCAUGGUAGAAGUAUCAAAGCUCCGGCGGUACAGGAUGGACCCGCGUCUGAUUAGCUAGUUGGUAAGGUAACGGCUUACCAAGGCGACGAUCAGUAGCCGACCUGAGAGGGUGAUCGGCCACAUUGGAACUGAGACACGGUCCAAACUCCUACGGGAGGCAGCAGUGGGGAAUAUUGCACAAUGGGCGAAAGCCUGAUGCAGCAACGCCGCGUGAGCGAUGAAGGCCUUCGGGUCGUAAAGCUCUGUCCUCAAGGAAGAUAAUGACGGUACUUGAGGAGGAAGCCCCGGCUAACUACGUGCCAGCAGCCGCGGUAAGAGUCACGUCG
rnacentral:rRNA from 1 species